GAUGAACGCUGGCGGCGUGCAUAACACAUUCAAGUCGAGCGGUGACGAGGACUUCGGUCCUCUGAUCAGUGGCGGACGGGUGAGUAACGCGUGAGCAACCUGCCCUAUAUUGCGGGAUAACAACCGGAAACAGUUGCUAAUACCGCAUGACGUAUUCGGAUCGCAUGUUCUGAAUACCAAAGAAUUUUGAUAUAGGAUGGGCUCGCGUCCGAUUAGGCAGUUGGUGGGGUAACGGCCCACCAAACCGACGAUCGGUAGCCGAACUGAGAGGUUGAACGGCCACAUUGGAACUGAGAUACGGUCCAGACUCCUACGGGAGGCAGCAGUGGGGAAUAUUGGGCAAUGGGCGAAAGCCUGACCCAGCGACGCCGCGUGAGGGAAGAAGGUCUUCGGAUUGUAAACCUCUUUCAGCAGGGAAGAAGCAAGUGACGGUACCUGCAGAAGAAGUCACGGCUAACUACGUGCCAGCAGCCGCAGUAAAAC
rnacentral:rRNA from 1 species